rnacentral:rRNA from 1 species
UACGAAGGGUGCUAGCGUUGUUCGGAAUCACUGGGCGUAAAGCGCACGUAGGCGGCUUAGCAAGUCGGAUGUGAAAUCCCUCGGCUCAACCAAGGAAGUGCAUCCGAAACUGCUGAGCUUGAGUACGAAAGAGGAUCGCGGAAUUCCUGGUGUAGCGGUGAAAGUGCGCGAUAUCAGGAGGAACACCGGUGGCGAAGGGCGGGUCUCUGGGCCGAUACUGACGCUGAGGAGCGAAAGCGUGGGGAGCGAACAGG